GACGAACGCUGGCGGCGUGCUUAACACAUGCAAGUCGAACGGAAAGGCCCUGCUUUUGUGGGGUGCUCGAGUGGCGAACGGGUGAGUAACACGUGAGUAACCUGCCCUUGACUUUGGGAUAACUUCAGGAAACUGGGGCUAAUACCGGAUAGGAGCUCCUGCUGCAUGGUGGGGGUUGGAAAGUUUCGGCGGUUGGGGAUGGACUCGCGGCUUAUCAGCUUGUUGGUGGGGUAGUGGCUUACCAAGGCUUUGACGGGUAGCCGGCCUGGGGGGGGGAACGGCCACAUUGGGACUGAGGUACGGGCCAGACUCCUACGGGAGGCAGCAGGGGGGAAUAUUGCACAAUGGGCGGAAGCCUGAUGCAGCAACGCCGCGUGCGGGAUGACGGCCUUCGGGUUGUAAACCGCUUUCGCCUGUGACGAAGCGUGAGUGACGGUAAUGGGUAAAGAAGCACCGGCUAACUACGUG
rnacentral:rRNA from 1 species